ACUCCUUCCUUCCUCAGCCGCGCUAGACUAGGGUUUAAAACCACGAGCACUGGGUGAGACAGUCUUGGGAAUGGCGGAGAGAUCGAAGCAGUGGCUUCUGAUUGCAACGGGCACCCUCCUUGGCUCCUUCUGCACCUUAGCGCUUCUUAGAUUUCUUUCUAGAAAGGAGGAGAAGCAGAAUGGUCGAUCUUCUUCCCAAUUUAACCCACAAAAUGGCAUGAUCGAUAAUAAAAAAAAGCUUGCAGGAUGCAGAACUAGUUGUCAGGAUAGUUUAAAGAAUUUGCAUGGAUUGGAUUUAGAAGAUGAGGUAGUAUCUGAACAAUUGACAAGGAACAUCCAAUUCUUUGGUUUUGAGUUUCAAAGAAAAGUAUCGGAUGCCUAUGUUGUUGUUGUUGGUCUUGGUGGAGUUGGUAGUCAUGCUGCUUCCAUGCUUUUGCGAUCUGGUAUUGGCAGGCUCCUUCUUGUGGAUUUUGACCAGGUGUCACUUUCAUCACUAAAUCGUCAUGCUGUGGCCAACAGAGACGAUGUUGGAACCCCUAAGGCCCUUUGUCUGCAGAAGCAUUUUGCAAGCAUAUUCCCCGAGAGUAAUGUGGAAGUAAAAGUUCAGAUGUAUGAUACAUCAUCUGAGGAAGAAAUUCUAUCAGGCUACCCAGACUUUGUUCUUGAUUGCAUUGACAAUAUUGACACCAAGGUUGCUCUCCUUGCUGCUUGUGUGCGUAGAGGUUUGAAGGUUCUCUCAGCAAUGGGUGCGGGUGCUAGAGCUGAUCCAACGCGAAUUCGUGUUGCUGACUUGAGAGAAUCAAUCAAUGACCCACUAUCUCGAGCGGUCAGAUACCGUUUGAGAAAAGACCAUGGGAUUGAUGGUGGAAUACCUGUGGUAUUUUCUUUGGAGAAACCAAAGAUGAAGUUGCUUCCUUUUAAAAGUUUAACUGAAGAAGAAGAAAAUCCUUCAGACUAUCAGGUAGUACCAGGUUUCAGAGUUCGUAUUAUACCUGUUCUGGGUACUAUUCCAGCAAUUUUUGGGCAAAUAAUGGCCUCAUAUGUUGUGACUCUGUUAUCGGGAUUGUCUGUUGAAAUGGAACCUGUGGUUAAUUUGGAUUUGGAUCAUUAUGGGAUUCUUCAUAACCGCCUUGUUGAGCAUGAAGAGUCAGUUUAUGGCUUUUCCAUUGAAGUUUUGGUUGAUGUUGAAGAAGUUAUGUAUGUCGUCAAAGAGUUGUGGCAUGGAAGAAGUGCAAGGGAUCAAUCCUUGAUAAAUGUUGGGCGCAAAAUGUGGCGGUCUGUUAAUGAGUUAAUGCUCGUAAGGUAAUUAUUACUCCAUUUCUUCUAGAAGCUUGGGAGAGAGACGUCAAAGCUCAUCUUCAGUAAUCAAAGUUUCAUCAAUUUCUGAAAGUCCUUUCCAAGGUGGGACAAAUCACAACCUGCUACAGUUACAAACUUGAUACUCCUGAAGCUUAAUGAGGUGAACGCACAUGAAUCAAGUACAAUAGACCUCAUAAAGGAGAAAGAGCCUGAAUUUUAUUCCUUGGUGACUCACGUGCUGAAUCGAGCAAAGAUAGACUUCGGUCUAUAGCUUGCAACUACAGAAUCAUUUUUUUGACAAAUAUGAUCAUUCUUGCUGUUCUUGUAGAGGCACAAACUUGAUAUUUGCAAAAGCUAGUGAUCCGUGUGCAACUUACUGCAUAUCAAACCCAAAUGGUCAACAAAUUAAAGUGUCUAGGGAGGAUAUUACAAGAAUUGGUACAUCCUACAAAGGUCAGGCACACCUGUGAUGCAACCUCGACGGCAACAAAUGUAUCUUAAAUUCUCUCAAAUUAUAGAUCCAUCCGUUGCUACUUGGGAUCCUUGUGGACUUAUUGACUGUCUAUUGGUGUUAUGAGCUGAAUUUAAGUUUCACCUAAAUUAAACUUAAGUGUAACAUAUUUAACUGGGAUUUUGUUGUUCUAGGUUGAACUCAAAUUGAGGCUGAAUUGGUGUAAAAUUUCCAUCAUUGCUCUCAGUUACCAAUA